GACAGAGGGGGCAAGCGUUGCUCGGAAUUACUGGGCGUAAAGGGCGCGUAGGCGGGAUGGCAAGUCGGUCGUGAAAUCCCUCGGCUCAACCGAGGAACGUCGAUCGAUACUGCUGUUCUUGAGGAUUGCAGAGGAGACUGGAAUUCCCGGUGUAGCGGUGAAAUGUGUAGAGAUCGGGAGGAACACCGGUGGCGAAGGCGGGUCUCUGGGCAUGACCUGACGCUGAGGAGCGAAAGUGUGGGGAGCGAACAGG
rnacentral:rRNA from 1 species